rnacentral:rRNA from 1 species
UACGGGGGGGGCAAGCGUUGUUCGGAAUUACUGGGCGUAAAGGGCUCGUAGGCGGCCAACUAAGUCCGACGUGAAAUCCCUGGGCUCAACCCAGGAACUGCGUCCGAUACUGGUUGGCUUGAAUCCGGGAGAGGGAUGCGGAAUUCCAGGUGUAGCGGUGAAAUGCGUAGAUAUCUGGAGGAACACCGGUGGCGAAGGCGGCAUCCUGGACCGGCAUUGACGCUGAGGCGCGAAAGCGUGGGGAGCAAACAGG